rnacentral:rRNA from 1 species
GGACCCGCACAAGCGGUGGAGCAUGUGGUUUAAUUCGAUGCAACGCGAAAACCUUACCUACUCUUGACAUACUUGGAAGCUCUUGUAAUGAGAGUGUGCUUUUAGAGCCAAGAUACAGGUGCUGCAUGGCUGUCGUCAGCUCGUGUCGUGAGAUGUUGGGUUAAGUCCCAUAACGAGCGCAACCCUUACCCUUAUUUGCCAGCGGUUCGGCCGGGAACUAUAAGGGGACUGCCGGUGACAAACCGGAGGAAGGUGAGGACGACGUCAAGUCAUCAUGGCCCUUACGAGUAGGGCUACACACGUGCUACAAUGGGGAAUACAGACGGACGCUAAAGCGUGAGCUGGAAUCGCUAGUAAUCGCAUAUCAGCCAUGAUGCGGUGAAUACGUUCCCGGGCCUUGUACACACCGCCCGUCAAGCCAUGG